CUGGUUGAUCCUGCCGGACCCUACUGCUAUCGGGGUGGGACUAAGACAUGUGAGUCGAGCGUCUCUAGCUAUGUUGAGACGCGGCAGACGGCUCAGUAACACGUGGCUAACCUACCCUCAGGACGAGGACAAACCCGGGAAACUGGGGCUAAUACUCGAUAGGCGAGGAUGUCUGGAAUGAUUUCUCACUCAAAGGGCUUGGAAACAUGCUUCCAAUGUCGCCUGAGGAUGGGGUCGCGUCCGAUCAGGUUGUUGGUGGGGUAACGGCUCACCAAGCCUAUAACCGGUACGGGCCGUGAGAGCGGUAGCCCGGAGAUGGGUACUGAGACAAGGACCCAGGCCCUACGGGGCGCAGCAGUCGCGAAAACUCCGCAAUGCACGAAAGUGUGACGGGGCUACCCCGAGUGCCAUCCGCUGAGGAUGGCUUUUCUCUGGUAUAACUAGCCGGGGGAAUAAGGAGAGGGCAAGACUGGUGUCAGCCGCCGCGGUAAUACCAGCUCUCCGAGUGGUAGGGAUGAUUAUUGGGCCUAAAGCGUCCGUAGCCGGCUUAGCAAGUCUCCUGUUAAAUUCAGCGACCUAAUCGUUGAGCCGCGGGAGAUACUACUAUGCUAGGAGGCGGGAGAGGUCAACGGUACUUCUGGGGUAGGGGUGAAAUCCUAUAAUCCCGGGAGGACCACCAGUGGCGAAGGCUGUUGACUAGAACGCGCUCGACGGUGAGGGACGAAAGCUGGGGGAGCGAACCGGAUUAGAUACCCGGGUAGUCCCAGCUGUAAACGAUGCGAGCUAGGUGUUGGAAUGGCUACGUGCCAUUUCAGUGCCGCAGGGAAGCCAUUAAGCCCGCCGCCUGGGGAGUACGGCCGCAAGGCUGAAACUUAAAGGAAUUGGCGGGGGAGCACCACAAGGCGUGAAGCUUGCGGCUCAAUUGGAGUCAACGCCGG
rnacentral:rRNA from 1 species